rnacentral:lncRNA from 1 species
UUUUCUCUGUGAAUCCACAUGUUAAACAACGCCCCCCCACCCCGCUUAACCCCCUAUAAAACAACCUCGGACUCUGAGCCAGGUGCCUCUCUGAGCUAUUUUGCUUCGGGAGUGCCGUCUGGCCAGACUAAUAAAGGUCUGUUUCCCAACAUGGCCGGUGUGUUCCUUCCCGGGUGUGCUCCACUCCACCUCCUUGGAGCAUUUGGUAAGGCCUUUGGUCUUACAUUCUGGAGGCACCGCUGGGAUCCCCCGGUGUGCUCCACUUCAGCUCCUCGGAGCGUUUGGUAAGGCCUCCCUCGGUCUUACAUUUUGGAGGCCCCAGCGAGAUGCUCCGGGUAAGGAACCCCGGUUCAGCCGAGACUCUAUGGCGGGAUCCUGCAGGAGACUCAGGCACAGACCUCAGAAAACCUCCGGAGGGAUUGAACUCGGGACCUUGCAUUUGCGCAGCAGGCGGCAGAACCACUGAGCUAAAGGCCUGGCCCUAGAUUCAUAUUUUUUCAAGACAAAUUGAAAAAUGAAGAGAAGGGGAGACUUCCCGGAAGAUCACAGAGUGGUGAACAGCAGAGAAACAGCCUCUCCAAGAUUUGGUGUCCAGACCCUGGAAUAUAGCAACAUGAGGAAGACAGGAAGGAGGGAAGUGGGGCCUCAGAACCCAGCAAGAAUCUGAAGUGAGAAUUGAGGCCCACGAGGACAGCCAAGAGAGCGAUUUCAAUGCAGAAGAAGGAGAUGGCAAGUGGCACUUUCUCCUUGAGCCCUGACUCAUUGUGUGGGAAGGGAGGCUCAAACCUGCAGACACAUGGUGACUACUGGUAAGCCCAGAGCCCUCCAUGGAGAAAUGCGCCCCAGAACAGAGCAUUUGACACAGCAGACUGCAGUGGCUGGUGAGUUAUUCGAGUUCAGACAUCCUCAGGAGAGGGUGAUUGGCUGGUCACCAUCUUGGAGAGGAGCCGACUGAGCUGGAACUCAGAGCAGCUGCAGGCGGACUCCAUCAGGGUAGGCUGAACCGAGUUCAAGUCAGCAGGAAGUCAAGGAGCCAAGUUCAAGCUGGCAGAAAUACAGAGUGUUGCAGCUGAACAAAUCGGGUUCCAGCCUCACAGCCAGAAACCAGCCUGAGCUUCAGAACUAAAGGUGCAGGCUUGCUGGGAUUACCCACUACCCCACCGUGGCAUGUUGGAAUUGAUCUGUGCUCUGUGUGCCCACUGACAGCAGAAACACACCUUGAAGGAUUGAACUCAGGACCUUACACUUUCGAGGUAGGUGCAUUGCCACUGAGCUGAAUCCCUGGCUCAAUAUAUCUUGAUUCUUUUUUUCCCAUUCCCCUUCCUUGCCUUCAACCCUUCUUCCCCUCCUUAUUUACAAAAGCUUUGGUUCC